UGAAUUGCCUGUGAGGAGUCACGCCUGGCAAAGACGGAAAAGGAAAAGGCUGUUAUCGAUGGAGCAGGAGGGGUCCAGGCUGGAGGCUGGAGGGAAGUCACCACGGGCCCGGACGGUCAAGAUGGCUUCCUCCUUCCAUCUGGCCUUCUCUGCUCCACCUCUCCAAGGUGGGACAUGCUGUGUCAGCCCUGUGUGCUCCCAGGCCCCGCACCAGCAGCCCAGUCCCUGCUCCAGACUCACGGGAGGAUCUGAUUGGCUCGGCCCCUCCCUGGCGUGUGAUCUCCAGUGUGCAGUCAGCUGGGACCAGGGGGCACGUCCCUGCAUCCUGGGCUUUCCCAGGUCCCAUCUCUGCUUUGGCACUGUUCCCAGACAACGUGUGGAGCAGACACCCUAGGAGGGGGCUGCUGCCGGUGCUUGUGGUUGAUGGAACUCUCGAAUGCGGUGUUUCCCCAGCUGAGCCAGGCAGCUUCCCCUUCUGCAUUCUCCACGCCUGCGCACUGACUGCGCCCGUGGAGGAGGGCCCUGCUCCCUGGAUCUCCCCCUGCCAGGGCUGCAGGAGACUCCCCGGAGGUGUGUGGUCGGGGUGGGCUGUGGGAACCCUGAGGCACCCGGCUGAGCUUCGGGUGUCAAGCCUCUGUCUUCCCUGGUUUGCUUCUCCCUCUUUUCCAGUCUAGUUGGAACAUUAGCUGAGUGUCUGCUGUGUGCAACAAGCUCAGGAAAGAGGAUCGGGUGGGACAGAUCAGUGGAGGGGGCAGGUCCCAGCGACGCAGGCAGGGCCGGGCCCACCGCCUCAGUCCCUCCUCCUGGCCUGUGAGGUAGCCCCCCAGGCUGCUUUGCCCCAUACUCCGGGGUGUGGGAAGUUUCCGCGUCAUGGCCUCCCGCAGGACGGCUUCCCUCCCCCUCUCCCUUGCCCCCCAGGGCUUUGUAAGAGUCGCGUGGGACAGUGUGCAUGAAAGCUCUAAUUAAGAGUAAAGGAUUACAUGAGUGUAUUUUUCAGUCAAAACCAUAAAAGAAACCUUCCCUAAGGUUGGCCCAAGUGCUCCUGCUGAUGUGGGAGGAAGCUGGGUCUGGGGGCUGCAUCCUCCUCCCUGGCACGGAGUGCAUGCGAGCUUUUGGGGUGCUGAGGAAGGUGGGCCUUGAGGACCGGGCUGAGAGAGCUGGCUUUGAUCCUGUUGGCAGUGCUGUGUUGACAACAGUCUUCUGGGAGGGGACCAGCCCACGCAGAGCUGGGGUCCCACGUCCUUUCUCGGGGCUCUGAGU
rnacentral:lncRNA from 1 species